rnacentral:rRNA from 1 species
AUGAACGCUGGCGGCGUGCCUAAUACAUGCAAGUCGAGCGCACAGAUGAGGAGCUUGCUCCUCUGACGUUAGCGGCGGACGGGUGAGUAGCCCGUGGAUAACCUACCUAUAAGCCUGGGAUAACUUCGGGAAACCGGAGCUAAUCCCGGAUAAUAUAUUGAACCGCAUGGUUCAAUAGUAAAAGACGGUUUUGCUGUCACUUAUAGAUGGAUCCGCGCCGCAUUAGCUAGUUGGUAAGGUAACGGCUUACCAAGGCAACGAUGCGUAGCCGACCUGAGAGGGUGAUCGGCCACACUGGAACUGAGACACGGUCCAGACUCCUACGGGAGGCAGCAGUAGGGAAUCUUCCGCAAUGGGCGAAAGCUUGACGGAGCAACGCCGCGUGAGUGAUGAAGGUCUUCGGAUCGUAAAACUCUGUUAUUAGGGAAGAACAAAUGUGUAAGUAACUAUGCACGUCUUGACGGUACCUAAUCAGAAAGCCACGGCUAACUACGUG